UACGUAGGGUGCAGGCGUCAAUCGGAAUUACUGGGCGUAAAGCGUGCGCAGGCGGCCUCUUAAGUCAGAUGUGAAAUCCCCGGGCUUAACCUGGGAACUGCGUUUGAAACUGGGAGGCUAGAGUGUGGAAGAGGGGGGUGGAAUUCCAGGUGUAGCAGUGAAAUGCGUAGAGAUCUGGAGGAACACCGAUGGCGAAGGCAGCCCCCUGGGCUGACACUGACGCUCAUGCACGAAAGCGUGGGGAGCAAACAGG
rnacentral:rRNA from 1 species